UGGUGGCUUUAGCUGGGAGGACCUGCUUAGAGCUGGGGUGGCACCCGCGCAGCCCCGGUUCCCAGGAAGUGCACCUGACCACUGUGCACCGCCUGGGCCGGUUGCCAGUGUCUGGAGUUAGAAGUAGGGCCUCAGGGAUCAUUCCUGAGGGCGGGGAGCUUGCAGGGGUGUGUCCCACACAGGUAAAUGGUGCUUUGUGUGUACAAAAUCCUGCCCUGAAAAGCUUCACCAGUUUUCUGCGAGGCGCACCGAAUUGCCGUCCGUUUUUAUUCUUGAUCGGGGAAACUGAGGCACUGGACAGCAAUGGCGUUCUGAGAGACACUCUGCCAAGGGGCUCACCAUUCCAGCUGCUAUUUCCACAAGGCUGAAUCUUCUGCAGCGUGGGCCCUGAAGAAGUUUGAGUCCCAAGAACACAAAACUUUCAGAUGACUGAUUUGAUAUCUCCCUCUGUCUGUGUCUCUGUCUCUGUCUCUGUCUCUCUGUGUGUCUGUCUGUUUUAUGUCUCUGUGUCUAUCUCUAUCUCUCACUCCUCUCCUGUCUCUGUCUAUCUGUUUGUCUCUGUGUCUCUGUGUCUAUCUCUACCCUCUUUCCUGUCUCUUUCUGUCGGUCUGUCCAUCUGUCUCGGUGUCUGUCUAUCUCUAUCCAGUCUCUGUCUGUCUGUCUGUCUCUUUCUCUCCCCGUUGUGUGUGGGACACUCACUUCCCCUCCUCUUUGCAUCGUCAUCUGACUGUCCAGUGAGCAUCCUUUGAAGCAUACCGGGCGUUUGUGUUCCUGGCGACAAGUUUUCUCUUCAGCAUUCAGGGCCCGUGGAGGCAUGAGCGGCCUGGUGAAACUUCCUACUUUCAUCCACCACGUAUCUGCGCCCGUCUCUUAGAUGUCUCUUACGUCUCUUAUGGUACACGCCGCUCUUGAGAAACCAUUUUCUUCUUUCAAAGUGUGAAGGCAAUUCUUUGUGGAUCUCUGAGACCUGGUCCUGAAGGGUGUUACCUGGAGAUGCUCAUUGGAGAAAAUGCCGCCGCGGGGUAGAUGUGUUUCGUUAUAUAUAACACAAGUCGUAACGCUGAGAAGUGCCACCGAAGGACAUGCCCAGUGCCCUCUCUUAUGAGAUAGGAAGAGGGAGAAAUAAUUUCCAAGGCACCUGGAAACCCCCCUUCCCUGUGUCUUCUCCACUGAUCAAUGUCUUAGUAGGUAAACCAAAAUAAAAGUUUGAAUAUAUACAGAAGGAAAACUUAAAAUACCCCAAAAGAGGACUCGUGACUAAAAACUCCGUCAGUAGCUGUGAAUGCCCACUACUGGAUCCUAUCUGAAUCAAAGGCCUCGGAGGAAGAGCUGAAGGAGGGUGUUUGAAGACUGGGAAAUGGCAUAGGACAGAGAGAGAGACCUGAAGGACAGAUGUCAGCCUCUUAGUGACUUCAGACUGGUACUCAUUGUCCACUUGUGUAAAUGUCGUGGUUGGCGGAGCUCAUUUGUCUGCUCUGAAAUGUGAGAGUACGCUUGCAUUUCAUGAUUCCAGAAAACAAGAAUGACAUCUGCGUUUGCUUCGAACCAGGAAUCUCAUAUAAAUCUCAGUAGUGAUUAAUAUAUAUGGAUGUUUCUAGAAAAACAACCUAAGUUUUAUUUCCUGAAGUCUUGCUGCAUUUGAUGAUGUUUCAGUGGGCCUUUCAUGACAGUGAUAAAUACCACACAAACAUCACCUUAGAGAAGGAAAAAUUUACCUUGACUCAAUGCUUUGAGGCUUCAGUCUACCAUGGCUGGAGGGUUUAGGGGACAGAAGAGCUCUCUAUGAUGGCCAGAAAGCAAAGAGGAAGAACCAGGUGCCUUCUCCUUCUUCAUGCUUGUCUCAUCUGAGUCCCCUGCCUUUGGCUGGAGAAGUCGACAUUCAGAGUGGGUGCUCCCUCAUAGUUAAUCCUUUCUGCAAGCAGAUAAGCCCAGAGGAGCGCUUUCCUACUCCUAGGCGUCUUUCCAUGCUACCACGAUGGCAAGGUUAACUAGGACAGACUCCCUAUGCCGUCUUCUCCUCCUCCACCCAACAGUUAACGUGUCCGUUUGGAGAUGUGUAGAGUUGCAAAGUCAGGAAAACCACUACCCACCCUCACAAUUGGCUCUGAUUUAAAAAUUCUUAUAUGGAGAUCUUCUCAGGAGAAUUAUCUUGAAGCCUGUAAUCCAACAACUUUUUCCCCGUUCUUUGUGAAGUGAAGCCAAAAGAAAACAGAAGGAAGGAGGCAGGGGACACGUUGGUGUGCACAGAGAAAGAGUAACUAAUUGUUGUGAGUGAGAAAACCUAGGCUAGAGGGCUUUUCCCAGCUCUGAAAACCUAUGAUGUAAAAACACAUGGUAUUUGUAUAAAAACUAAAUGCCGGAGGCAAGUAAACUUCAAGUGAAAGAGAAAAAAGUGGGAGAGAGCUGACCAAUUAAAGCUAACACUUCUGGCUCAGUGGUAAAGAACACAGACUGCUCUGCCAGAGGUCCUGAGUUCAGUUCUCAGUAACCACACGGUGGCUCACAACCAUCUGUAAUGGGAUCCGAUGCCCUCCUCUGGUGUGUUUGAAGACAGGAUAAAUAGAUCUUUAAAAAAAGCUAACACUUCUUCUUUGAAGAAAAAAACUAGGAAAGAAAAAGAGGUAGGACUCUGUCUGGUAAGAUCAACAGAAUAGGGAUAAAGUAUGCAUAAUCUCUUAUUUGGAAGAUUCUAGAUGGCUUCUAACCACAGGGCAGCAGUGCCAUGUCUGUGCUUUGUUUUUUCUCUACACAAUUAUUUUCCUUUGGCUCUAUAGCAUUUAUUUCCCUCUUAGUCCAUAUCCAUGUUUUAUGCGAGCUAUAUUAUAGCACGAAUUAGAUUCUUUUUUUUUUUUUUGGUUCUUUUUUUCGGAGCUGGGGACCGAACCCAGGGCCUUGCGCUUCCUAGGUAAGGGCUCUACCACUGAGCUAAAUCCCCAGCCCCACGAAUUAGAUUCUUUCAUAGGCCAGCAUGUACUGUCUUCAGGAAACCUUGAAAAACCUUGCCCCGGAGGGCUAAUGUAAUUAUCACUUUCUAACAGCAGAUGGCACUAUAGGCCAGUAGAUUUUAUUUUUUCUUCAUUGAUUCUGCACUAGUCAUCUUCUACGUUUUGGUUAUUCACCUAUUAACCAUUAUUAUUUUUAAAAAUUUAAGGCAGAUUAUAUUCCAUAUAUAUGUUUACUCCAAUGCUGUACGUGCCUUCAAAACCUGUUAAAUUGAUGCUCCUCAUAAAUCCUUUAAGUUGCCUAACAUAUUUAACAUAUUAGGAAACUUAGCAUUCCUAGUGGUUAACUGAUGUGUUACCUUAUUGCUAAUGAAGAUGGAGGUUAUGCAGACUCAGGUGUGAGGCCAGACUCUAACACAUGCCAACUGUCUGAGCUGGGUCAAAUUUAACAUAUCCGUUAUCGGCUUCAGUUUUCUUGUCUUUUAAAAUGGCCGACUUGGAUGAGUCUUGUUUUUCUGCAAUGUAAGUGGGCUCCAGACAAGUUCCGUGACUUCUGGCUGGUGUUGAAUACUUCUUGAAACAUUUAGUUAACUGCGUGCAAUACCAAACAGACCCUUUUAAUUGGUAAUAAUUGGGAGAGUUUUUCUAGACCAUUAUUUAGUGAAUUAGCUUGGGAGGGGAGCUGUGUUUAUAUAAGACCAAAGUUAUAUAACUUUGACUCCCACCAAAGUAUCUGCUCCUGGUCUCUAACGCUGUGGUUUCAGGGAAGAACUUUCUGGAAGGGCUUCGAAUUGGCAUAUUCCAGGGCCACCCAGACUUAUCAAUGUGAAACCUCUGAUCCGAAAUACGACCUCCCAUAACCCGCUGGGCUUGUCUUCAUUGGCUCAGUUCCUACAGUGCUUGCCUUACGGUGAUUCACGUAUCGGGUAGGGGAGAAAGAAGCCUGUAGAGAAGUCCCUCUGCCCACUCUGCUUUCCAGCCUGUCGUACAUCUUCCAUCUGAGGUGGUUUCCACUUACGUGGCAGCUUCCCCCUCAUUGUCAGGGAGGAGACAUCAUCUGCACGGUGUGGAAUCGCAGAGGCGAGAGAGAGCUCCAGACGGGUGAGCGCGCAUUCUGGAUAACUGAAGUUUACUUAGCUGAAUUCUGCCCCUCCCUGAAAUUCACGCAUAGACACCCCAGUCCCCAGGGUCUCAGCGUUUGGAGAUGGGGCUUUUAAUUCAACCCUUUACAUUUCGGGGUUAAAGUGGGGUACUUAAGAAGGGCUUCUGCCUAUCUAUCUCCUGUGGUGCUGGACAAGUAGCUCAGUCGCAGGAGUCCCUGUCUGGCUUGAAGGAAGCCCCAACUUUGAUUUCCAACACUGCACGCUCCUGUAACCCCAGCACUUAGGAGAGGAGGGAAGGGGACAGAAGUCCAAGAGCAGUCUUGGCUCUAAGGUAAAUUGGAGUCCAGGGUGGCACAGGUGAGACUCAGUCUCAGGGUUUUUUUUUUUGUUUGGGUUUUUUUAGUUUUUCACAGACAAAGGUUUUUAGACGUAGCACACACAGAACAAAGGCCUCGUGAAUUCAUAAGGGGAAGGCAUGCAACUCAAGGGUCUGGGAAACAAACAGGCAUUUUGUACUUCAAGCCUCCAAUGCUGUCAAGAAGUACCUUGCUGUUGUUUAAGCUACCCAGCUUGUGGGGUUUCGUCACGGAAGCCCUAGAAAACACACCAAGCACUAUUCGCCGUUCAUUCACUCAACAAAAGCACUUUGACAGUGUCCUGCGUUCUAGCUCAGACUUAGUGCGCCUAAUACUGUGAGAGGUCCAUGUAUGCAGUGGUGGACCUGAGCAGUUCACGAGGCUGGAGAAACAGGCUUGGGGUCCUCCCCACACCAACACAUCUACGAGCAGCACCCAGGGAUGUCCCAUCCCCUCAGCCCUGACCUGCGUACGGGCACGCAUCACUCACCAGUUUCUGGUCACACUUUCAUGGCUUCAGUGACACUUACGAUGCCCGCUUGCUUGAUGACAUAACUUUGUUCUUUUUCGAACAUGUGUCUUGAAGGCAGCUUAGGGUGCCAAAAACCUUGAAUCUGUGCAUCUAUCCAUCCAUCAUUCAUUCAUCCACAUUUCUAUGUACUUAUUUGUGUCUACAUGCGGAUAUGAUCUAGCCAUACAAGCACGUGCAUAUGGGAUUAUAUAUGAAUAUUUGUUGGCAGGCCUAAUGUUACUACUUCUGUAGGUUCGAUCGCCCACUCUGAGUCUAUUUUUCUGGACGUAUAUUAAAUAUGAGGAGACAAGGCCAUGGUGAAGUCAAACGCAAACAGUGGUGGCUGUCGGCUCAUGAUGGAGCAGGGCAGGGUGCAGAAGUGAGACCAUCUGCAGGUGUGAGUUAAUGCCGAGCACAACUGGGGUCCCAGAGCUUAAAAGAAUCUUUGAGCGUAAGGAGAUACAGACCGUGGCCUCCUCUAUUGACACAGUGUGGUAAUUCAGGGGCAAAUAGCAUUUUGAUGAAACAGCAGAAUGGCUUCUUUGCACAGGGGAUAACGUGCUCUUUUUCCAUAUUGACAGAGUGGGUGUUAGAAGCAUUCGUGAUGCCGGGAGAUCAUUUUGAGGGUUACCGUGAGCCACAUCAUGGUCACUUACGAUGCCCCGAGCCUUGCACUGAGGCAUGUAGCUCCUCCUGGCGUCUCCAUCCCACCCUAGGGCUUUCCUGUAUCCACCACUGCCCCUGUUGUACACACCCUUUGGUAUUUUCUCCUAUUAGUUAAUUGAUUAAUUAAUUAAUUAAUUAAUUAGAAACAGGGUCUCAUGAAUCUCAGGCUGGCCUUGAAUUCACCAAGUAGCAGGGGAUAACCUUGAACUCCUGCUCCCAAGUGCUGAGAUUACAGACAUGAGCAACCACGACCAUGUACGCAGCUCUGGGGAUAGAACCAAGGCUUCACACGUAUGGAGACAAGCGCUCUGUCAACUGAGUGACGGCUCCACCCCCCUUUUCUCUCUACCUGUUCCAGUAUCAUUGUUUCUGUUUUCUUCCACCUCUCAUUUUGAACUGUUUUCUCUUACAAGUUUUUAAAUUUAGAACCAUUUCCUUUUUUGAGUAUUUUUAUUACACACACACACACACACACACACACACACACACAGAGCGUGUAAAUGCCUGGUGCCCCUGGAGGUCAGAAAAGGGGGUCAGGUCCUCAGGGAGUGGAGUACAGAUGGUUGUGAGAUACCAUGUAGGGGCUGAUAAAUGAAUUUGGGUCCUCUAGAAGACUAGAAAGUGCUUUAACUGCUUAAUCAUUUCUCAGCCUCCUUAGAGCCAUUUCCAAACAAGGACACGCUCUCCCCUUUUGUUAACUAAGACAAUUAAUGGAUGAUUCCUCACCCCACCCUUUCUUUCUUCAUAGUUUGGUGAUUUACUAUUCAUUUUUAAAAGCUUGUUGCUAUUAAAAAAAAUCACGAUAUUGAAUUAUCUGCUAAUUAGAAACAGCACAGAACCAGAAUAGUUUUUCUGCCUGCGCUCAAAGAUGUUAGAAUAAGAUCUCACACAUUCAGCUUUCCCAGAUGAACGAUUUAUAGUUUUUAACUGCAGUCGUUCUCAUCUGUUCACGUUCAACUCUUCUUGCUGUUGUAAUGGCCCUUGUCUGAGGCUUUGGUGGGGCCUCCUGAGCUGAUGGCAGACAGUGGACUGCAAGUCUGGACAGUGAACAAAAGGAGAUACGACAGUGCCGGUCACGACCCCACUGACUGAUCGGAGAAGACAUCUGAUUGGCAGCAGCUGGCCCAGACAGUCUCCUGAGGUGGGCUGGGCGCACGGGUGACAGGAAAGGAGUCUGGAGCUCCUGGAAUCCUGAGCCCAGGCACCUGAUUUCACUCCCUGAAGUCACCAGCCCUGCUCUGUGGACUUUCACCCAGUCCUGCCUCCAAAUACUUACAAUUUAACCCAGAAGAUGUAGCCAGAUGACUUUAAACAGAGCACAUGAGCCUCAAACUCUAAGUAAUUAUUUACAAGACAAAGUGAGCAGCUGGCGAACUCUACCCUGCUAGGCGGAACGGGGUCCUGCUAGGCGGAACCGGGUCUCUCGGGCAAAGCUCUUGCUAAUCGGUUGAUUAAUGAGAGCUGAGCCACGAUUUCUCUUCUACACUAAAUAUACAAGGCAUCUUGUGUUUUGUUUGAGUGUUCUGGAUUUUUUGUUUUUUCCUCUGCGACAAUGGGAUCCAAAGAGAAACCCAGGAGGAAGCGAAGGAUGAGAAAACGGAUGUUAGGAUGCGAUCACAGAAAUCGUGGGGAGAGAAGCCCCGCUGUGCUCGGAAGGAUGAGCCGGCCAAAGUGUGACUUCUUUGAGAUAUAGUUAAUCAGCUCCAAACGGAAUCUAGUGGAGCAUUUCGUAGGCUGGAAGCCUUGGAAAACAGCAUCUUAAAACUGUCUCUUAAAUGUAUGUUUAGGCAAAACGUCAUCGUCUUCCUUGGUUUAGUGCUGGGGACUGAACCCACGGCUUUAAUCACCUGAAGCAUUUGUUCUGCCACUGAGCUCAAUUUGUUGAGUAAAUAAUCAAACUUGAAAGGGAAUAUUAUGUUAGAAAACGUAUUAGAGCAACAGUGAGGACAAGGUACAGUUCCGGGUAGCAAAUUCAGGGGCCUCGAGAUCCUGUAUAUCGCACAGAAUGUGUUGUAAAGUGAAAGACUAUGUAAACAAGAAACAGAAUUAAUUAUCGUUAGAGCAAGUUUUCACAUAGAGACAGGAAUAGAAUAAAUUUACAGCAAACAGUGAAUUAAAUUGCAAAUAAUAUAAAUAAAAUAAAUAUCAACAAAAUAACUAUAAACAAAGAGAGUCACUACAUGUUUGCGCUGAAAUGGUAGCCCCAAACAGGUUUCCAUUCCAUCACCAAAAAGCCUCACGUAUAUAAAGGGAAAUGCCUGUUAGGUUACUAGAAGAGCCUGCAUGGGAUGAGCUAUGAAAUGGUACAAAGACUCAUGACUGUGGGAUAUAAAUUCAGAGCUCUCUGAAUCCAAAAUUAAAUAAGAUAUUGCAUUUUCUGUGAAUACGUUCAAAAUUAUUCUUAAGUAUAAAUUUAAAAGCCUUGGGGGAAAAUACAGAAAGAUGGGCAAUGACAUAACUCUCAACUUCUCCAACGAAGACUCCUGGACUUGUAGGCAGUGCCAACAUCGAACGGCCCCACCCCAGGUUUAUUUGCUUUAUUUUGGAGAUGGGGUCUGGCUAAGUUGCCCAGGCUGGCACUAAAGAGGUCUCCCUGCUCUGUCUGUAAACACCUUGGAUUACAGGUAUUCUCUGCCCCAUCCUGACUUCAACUCCAGAUUUAUUUAUUUAUUUAUUUAUUUUUUGGUUCUUUUUUUCGGAGCUGGGGACCGAACCCAGGGCCUUGCGCUUCCUAGGUAAGCGCUCUACCACUGAGCUAAAUCCCCAGCCCCCAGAUUUAUUUUUAAAGACUUAUUUUAUGUAUACAAAGGCUCCAUCUGCGUGUACACCUGAACACCAGAAGAGGGCGUCAGAUCCCAUUACAGAUGGUUGUGAGCCACCAUGUGGCUGCUGGGAAUUGAACUCAGGACCUCUGGAAGUGCAGUCAGUGCUCUUAACCACUGAGCCAGCUCUCCAGCCCCUAACUGCAGAUUUAAAAAUGAAGAUCCCAUGGAACAUUCCAUUCAUGGACACAAAACACUGUAACCGUUGAUAUUUCAAACUAAGGUGGUCUAGUGUUGGAGAGUGUGAAGACUUAGGUAUGCUGACGUCUGAAGUGAUGGGUUGUGUUUCUCUUGUGAAUGGCGUCAUCUCCAUACCUUCACCUCCUGUCGUAGGUCAGUAGGAAGCAGUUCACCUCUAGAAAACAGACUAUCCUCUGCCCUUUACUGGUUUCAUAACACAGGACUAUUGACUAGCUCUUCAGGCCUCAGUUUUCUUAUCUGUAAAUUGGAAUAACAGUACCUAAUGCUUUGCUAUGGGGAUUAAAUGAAAUUAUCUGUGGUGGGCUUGCUGCUGGUGCACACCAAGCGUGCAGUAGAUGCUAGCUGCUGUUUUUCUUACUUUCUCACUGCUAGCUGCUGUUUUUCUUACUUUCUCAUUCUAAUCUUAUUAUUCUAAUUAAACCUGUGUAUCUGUUCAUUUUUGAAAA